rnacentral:misc_RNA from 1 species
GAUGAAGAACGUAGCGAAAUGGGAUAAUUAAUGUGAAUUGCAGAAUUCAGUGAAUCAUCGAGUCUUUGAACGCACAUUGCGCCCCCUGGUAUUCCGGGGGGCAUGCCUGUCCGAGCGUCAUUGCUGCCCUCAAGCACGGCUUGUGUGUUGGGCCGUCGUCCCCCUCCUAGGGGACGGGCCCGAAAGGCAGCGGCGGCACCGCGUCCGGUCCUCGAGCGUAUGGGGCUUCGUCACCCGCUCCGUAGGCCCGGCCGGCGCUUGCCGACGACCAUCAAUCUCUUUCUCCAGGUUGACCUCGGAUCAGGUAGGGAUACCCGCUGAACUUAAGCAUAUCAAUAAGCGAGGA